rnacentral:pre_miRNA from 1 species
CUCAUACUCCCUACCUUCCGAAUUACUUGUCUCACGUAUGGAUGUAUCUAAAUGCAUUUUAGUUCUAGAUACAUCCAUUUCAGCGACGAGUAAUUUGGAACGGAGGGAGUAGAUG